AUCCAGGAGCAGCCACAGUCACUCUGGGCACCUGUGCCAGGGCCUCCUCAGUCUCACAGCCAAGAAUUUCUCCCUAACAAACAUUCUAAAUCUACCCUCCUUCAGUUUACAGCCAUUCCCUGUAUCCUCUCCCUCCAUCCAUUGUCCAAAGUCCCUCUCCAGCUCUCCUGGAGCCCCUUUAGGUGCUGGAACUCCUUGACCCCUGAGCAUCCCUCUCAUCACUGCUCAGCACUUGGACACCGAGCCAGUGACCACAAGUCUGAGUGUGACCAUCCAGCCCCUUCCUUAUCCACCGAGAGCUCCAUCCACGACAUCCCCGGCUCUCCAGUCCGGAGACAAGGAUCUCCUGAGCUGAACAUCUUGCACAAGUCCAGGAAACCACCUCUCUUCCCCUCUGGAGCCUUUCUGUUGUCUCGAGACAGGGUGUGCGCUGGUCCUAGAGUAGGACAGUGCUUUUUGUGUCUGUGGAACAGCCUCAGUAACACAACAAAAAGCGAAGAAAAACCUGAGAUCCCUUCACUGCACAGCAAUCACACAGGAGCAAACCUUUGGUGGAUUAAGGAUGGUGUGCCCAGGCUUCUCCCUGUCACAUGACAGCUUUGACAACUCACCCAAAUCCCAGCCAGGUACACCUGAAACCAUAAAGCA